UACGAAGGGGGGCUAGCGUUGUUCGGAAUUACUGGGCGUAAAGGGCGCGUAGGCGGUACUUCAAGUCAGGCGUGAAAGCCCCCGGGCUCAACCUGGGAACCGCGCUUGAGACUGGAGAACUAGAGUUCGGGAGAGGAUGGUGGAAUUCCCCAGUGUAGAGGUGAAAUUCGUAGAUAUUGGGAAGAACACCGAUGGCGAAGGCAGCCAUCUGGACCGACACUGACGCUGAGGCGCGAAAAGCGUGGGGAGCAAACAGG
rnacentral:rRNA from 1 species